CCCUAGGGGGGGAAGAAAACGCCCCCCUGCUGUCUCCUAAAAUCAAUACCCUCCUUUUUGCGUGUGGUGCUUCCCGAACGAAAAUCUCCGGUCGGGAAGAUUGCAAAGCUGUAAACUUAAGGAUUGACGGAAGGGACCCCGGAGGGGGCUGCGGCUUAAUUUGACUCAACACGGGAAAACUCACCCGGCCCGGACACCGUGAGGAUUGACAGAUUGAUAGCUUUUUCAUGAUUCGGGUGGUUGGGGUGCAUGGCCGUUCUUAGUUCGUGGAUCGAUUUUGUCUGGUUUUAUCCGAUAACGAGCGAGACUCGCCUACUAACUAGUGCGGGCAUUUGCCUCUGUCUCGUCACUUUCUUUAGAGGGAUUGGCUGCGCUAGCGGCCACGAAACGGAGCAAUAACAGGUCUUGUGGAUGCCCUUAGAUGUCCGGGGCCUGCACGCGCCUUAACUGGCAAAGCAACGUGCUUGUCCCGCUCCGAAGGCCGGUAACCCUUGAAAAUUUUGCCGUGAUUGGGGAUCGAAAUUGAUUUUUC
rnacentral:rRNA from 1 species